UGAGGAAUAUUGGUCAAUGGGCGAGAGCCCGAACCAGCCAAGUAGCGUGCAGGAUGACGGCCCUAUGGGUUGUAAACUGCUUUUAUGUGGGGAUAAAGUGCGUGACGUGUCAUGCAUUGCAGGUACCACAUGAAUAAGGACCGGCUAAUUCCGUGCCAGCAGCCGCGGUAAUACGGAAGGUCCGGGCGUUAUCCGGAUUUAUUGGGUUUAAAGGGAGCGUAGGCUGUCUAUUAAGCGUGUUGUGAAAUUUACCGGCUCAACCGGUGGCUUGCAGCGCGAACUGGUCGACUUGAGUAUGCAGGAAGUAGGCGGAAUUCAUGGUGUAUCGGUGAAAUGCUUAGAUAUCAUGACGAACUCCGAUUGCGCAGGCAGCUUACUGUAGCAUAACUGACGAUGAUGCUCGAAAGUGCGGGUAUCAAACAGG
rnacentral:rRNA from 1 species